rnacentral:rRNA from 1 species
UAGACUUGACAUCUCCUGAAUUACUCUUAAUCGAGGAAGUCCCUUCGGGGACAGGAAGACAGGUGGUGCAUGGUUGUCGUCAGCUCGUGUCGUGAGAUGUUGGGUUAAGUCCCGCAACGAGCGCAACCCUUAUUGUUAGUUGCUACUAUUAAGUUAAGAACUCUAACGAGACUGCCGCGGUUAACGUGGAGGAAGGUGGGGAUGACGUCAAAUCAUCAUGCCCCUUAUGUCUAGGGCUACACACGUGCUACAAUGGCUGGUACAACGAGCAGCAAACCCGCGAGGGGGAGCAAAACUUGAAAGGCAGUCCCGGGUCGGAUUGUAGGCUGAAACUCGCCUACAUGAAGUUGGAGUUGCUAGUAAUCGCGGAUCAGCAUGUCGCGGUGAGUACGUUCCCAGGUC